CAAUCAGAGGUUCAGCCUGUGACUCAGUAGUUCCCAUACAGGAGUUCAACAACAAAUAGGAAAAAGAAAUUGAAGAACACUCGUGCAACUAAGAUGUUGUCAAAUUAACUGUCCCUGCUGUAAUUUACCUAAGGCCACUUAUAAAAUUGGUUGAAAUAAUUUCCAAGCCACUAGUAGUUGUCUUGUUAACCCACCAGGAAAAUGGUGAAGUUUUGAGAGCCUGGAAAAUGGCAAAUACAGAGCCUAUCUUCAGAAAUGAGAAAAAGAAAGAGUCAGGGAUUGCAGAGGAGUCAUCUUAACUUCAGUUCCUGGAAAAAGUUCUGGAACAAUAAUCAACUGAACUAUUUGUAAGCACUUGGAAGAUAACAAGGAGACACCAAAGCAUGAACACCCUCAAGCACAACGGAAGGCAGUAGUACAAACCUCACAAACUGGAAACACAGUCCACAAAUUAGGAUGUAGUCCAGUAGACAUACUAAGUUUGUUGGUGCUGUAGCUGAUACCCAAGAAGCAAAAGUGUCAGAAAGCAGAAGGAGGACUAGAACCAUCUGUCCCAGGACACUGUGGACUCUGUCACUGGGUACUUUGAAGACCAACAUUAGACAAUCAUAGAAUGUUCUGCAUAUAGUUUGCCUUCUUGUGAUUAAGGAUUCAGUGACAACAAUGUUUUCUUCCACUCUAUUUUCUAUG